rnacentral:lncRNA from 1 species
UUAAUCAACAUCUAUAAAUUGAACUGCCACCACUUUACUCUAGAAUCUGGGGUAUAAUACUAUGUAUAACUAGAAAACUCGCCCUAAAUGACUAUGCUUGAUAAUGAAAAACUUGUUGUUAGUACUUUUUUCUGAGAUACAACUCUUAGCCCUCUGUAUCCCCAACAAUCAUCAUGUAACAAAUUAAAAUUGACCAACUUAGAAUUUUCAACUCCUCUUUCUAUUAUCUCAACCUGCAAAAAUUCAAACUUAGAUUAUAACACAUAACAUGGAUAUCCCCAAAUGUUUACUAACCAUACUACUUUCAUCAUAGCCUAUAAAUAUCACAUCCAC